rnacentral:lncRNA from 1 species
GGGGGUCCCGUCCUCCAUUACCACACGUGAACCUUCGCGCACCUCCGCAUACCACAUCAUGGCGUCACAGACGAAGUCACCGAUGGGGGCCUCGCCCAGGCGAACAGUGGCCUUGUCGGAAACCAGGGUGUGCGACAGAGUGCCCAGUGCGCAGGAGGCGGUGGAGGUGGGCGCCGCGGAGCAGAUGCCGCUGCUGCCGCCCAGGUCGCAGCGGUUGAUGCGGCCCUCGGCAGCAGCGUAGCCAGUGACCUGCAGGGACAGGAAGGAAGAGGCGUGAGGGCCAUCGGGCAUGAGGAAGACAUGUGUGAGAAGAGCUAAACAUUAGAGGGGAAGAAAAGAUGGGAGAAGGGAGGAACGUGUGCUACGAACGAAAGCAUGUGUGAUGGAGGUGGUCGGAGGCGGCUUAAGGAUAUGCCAGGAAUAGAGAUGAUAAUCGCGAGAUCAUACGAUCAAAUCUUGCUUGAAACAAGACAAAUCAGGGAUAUCAGCGUUAUAAUCCUAUGCGCUGUCCAGGGAUCAAGUAGUAUGAUCAGCCCGAGAUAAGUUCUCAAUGUUGCCUUCGACAUCUGUCUGCGGAUUGAAACGUUCUCCCUCCAAACACAAGCCAUUGAACCAUUUCAAGGUGGAUUACAUGGCGCCGGCGUGAACUUUGCUACGUUAUGCACCACCCUCGUAGUGCGUGAUCCCCAUCACCAGCAGGGGUGAAAUACAAAUGAGAUUAUUCAGUAGGAACAAUAAUGCAGUUGCACUGACCAAAGCUUGGCGUGGGUUAAGGCCGGGGCUCGGGAAUUGAGGGGUAUUUCUGCCCCUAUAUGCCCCUGGGCAACAUCCACUAGGAUAACGCACUUUAAACAAGCACACAAGCACACAUGCAUACACACUAACUUGCGAGCUGACCAGGAACUAAGUUGAGGCGCCGUUGAUCCGCUAGAUUUGGUUGGAUGCUGGUGGUGAGUUGGGAACCCAACGAAUACACUCUGAAUUUGGAUGGGGUGAAUGGAUUAGGGUGCCCCUCUCGCAGGGGAGAGCAGGGAACUGCCUCGGGAAAGGGGGCCGCUGGUGAAGCUUAACCACCCUGUAACAACAUACACAUCCUGCACGCCUCUUGUCCUUCUCCCUCCAUCCCCUACUCGGCCGCAUGCUCGGGUCACACUGAUUUACCAGGCUGGCGCAAAAUCAAUCAGCAAGUAAGGGUUGUAUUCAUAAUAAAAAAAACUCACGGGUGACGUGUACGACAGGAAUUCCUCCACAGCCUCCACAGCAAAAAGCCCCGUCUCCGCUACCGUCUGCGCCGCCCUGAUGGUUAGGUAGCCAUCGCCGCCUGACCAGAGGGAGUGGGGAGGGCCGGGGAAGGGCGGAGAGGGAUAGGAAAGGUAUGGAAUGUAAGGGUGUAUUGGUAGGCCAACAUCAACCCGCAUGGCAUUACAGACCCUAGCACAAGAUCGUGCUAUGCUAGCACAAGAUAGUGCUAUGCUAGCACAAGAUAGUGCUAUGCUAGCACAAGAUAGGGCUAUGCUAGCACAAGAUAGGGCUAUGCUAGCACACGAUACUGUGCUAGGGGGCUCAACAACUCGGCAUCAGGCCCCAAAGCAGCAGCAGUAGCUGCAGCAGCUGCGAAUCCAGUAUGACCCACAGCAGUUUGAAAGUCAGCGGAGGAGGUCAACAGAAGGACAACUUAGGCAGAUGGUGGUUUCUCGCUUUCAAAGAAAGGUCGUAGUGACAGCAGUGUAACAACCAACACGCUGGGCGACGCUGCCAUCACCUGUGUCAACGGGUAUCCUAAUAUUAGGGCAACCACCGCAUCUAGGCCGUACAGCUGUACGGAGCCCGUUGCAAAAGGCCGUGGGAUUCACAGUGUUACCCUAAUAUGUACGGCAGCUGAUGGGUAGCGACGCUACCAUGGUGUGUGUGUAUAUAACAUCACUAGCAGGCACGUGAUGUGUUCUUUUGUCGCCGUCAUACUGCUUGUGUGCCGCCGAUGAUGUUUAUGUGGCCCCCCAACCCCCAUGCUCUUUGUGCCGUUCAAGCCGUACACUUACCCGCCGCCAUAUAAUCGUUGGUCACCAAGGCAUACUUGGCGCAAGGAUCGAUGGGCGAGUACGAACCGUCCGCGUUCGCAACCUCGAUCGCCGACACGCGCUGGUUGCGCGGCUUGGUGGCGUCGUACGCAAAACGGAAGCCGCCCACCUGUCGAAUGAUGUGAAAGCAUGUAGUUACAUUAAAAAACACAGGAAGCUGAGGAAAGCCUUUGUGCACGACCCGGGUGUUUUUUGAGCCUGCUAUUAAGACUACUGCUACCAUCAGCCGUUUCAUUUAUCAAACAGUCGUGCACGCAUAAACGCCGGUACGGCAGACGGCGUCAGGGCAAGAGCUUUGCCCGAGCUUUUUGAGGGAGAACCCGUAGUCUCGUUGAGCUGAUAAUGUCUGUUCCGUCAUUUUCUUCUUAAACUGUAUUUAACUUAAGCAGUGCCGUACAUAUUUCACCACCGGUUUCUUCACGCGGCCCUAAGGUUGGGCACCGGUACCGAUCAGCGGCCCGCCUGGUGUCGCGGUCUUAAAGGAACACCCCAUCGCAGGACGGAUGCGGUUAAUAGUGCCAACUGCCUACUGCCAACUGCCAACUGCCAACUGCCAAAUCGCAGUACGGAAAUGUACAAGUACCAUAGCCUAGUGUCGCCGUCAUGUACCUCGUACACGGCCACCUCACCUGUGCAAACUGCCCGAGGGCCUCGCCCCCGGCAAUGUUGCCCUCAACGCUGUUCUCGAGAGCCGAUUUGAGGCCCGUGACGGAAAUGCUCUUGACCACAAGGGUAUUGCCGUACGGCAGGGCGGCAGCGAUUUGGCCUGCGGUUAGGUGUUUUUAUGUUAUUUUGCACAACACCGUUUUAUUUUAAGUAAUGCAACACUGACACUGUUUUCUGUGUGUGCUGCUAGUUCGGACCGUGUGUUGCAUGAACUGCAUGGGAAUUGUGUCUGUAUUGCGUGACCUUGUCUCCGAUAUGUAAGUGGAGACGGUGGGUGCAUGGUAGCUGCGAUGCAGUGUACAUAUUUAGAACAUGCCUACUGUGUACGACGUCGUACAUUCAGCAUACCUCCGGUCACCAGUCCAGCAGGGAUGUCCGCGCGAAUUGAACCAGAGUUCACCAUGCACAACUUCGGCCGCACGCCUGUAGUCAUCUGUUCAUAGACGCCACAGUUACAGGAAAAGGAGGGAACAGGGGGGCCAAGAGAUAUGCGGGUGGGUUUCCGUUGGCCAAAACACACACACACGAUCAUUUACGACAACUUACAUAUGUUCCCGUGAACAAAAUGCCGCACACUGUACAAAACUCGAUUGCAGAACCACAGACACACAUAGAGGAUAGCAUCAGCCGAGUUGGUCCUGCAGGCCGUCUGGAUGCCCGAUGCGGGUUUUAGAACAUGCGGAUUCGGAGCUGAUUUCACGUUUUUCACAGGGCCCCAGGGGUCCCGUCCUCCAUUACCACACGUGAACCUUCGCGCACCUCGGCAUACCACAUCAUGGCGUCACAGACGAAGUCACCGAUGGGGGCCUCGCCCAGGCGAACAGUGGCCUUGUCGGAAACCAGGGUGUGCGACAGAGUGCCCAGUGCGCAGGAGGCGGUGGAGGUGGGCGCCGCGGAGCAGAUGCCGCUGCUGCCGCCCAGGUCGCAGCGGUUGAUGCGGCCCUCGGCAGCAGCGUAGCCGGUGACCUGCAGGGACAGGAAGAGGGAGCCGUGAGGGCCAUCGGGCAUGAGAAAGACGCGUGUGUGUGCACUGCGGCUCCAACCGCCCCACAUACAACGUAAUCACUAGUCACGCCAUACGUGCUUUAGACGCUAUAAAUGUUUAGACGCUAUACCUAUCUACCAUACAGGAUAUGCUCGGUACGCGACUUAUCGUACACGCGGCAUAUGCUACAUAUCCUACAUAUGCUACAUAUGCUACACAAGGGUUAUAGCGUAUAAGCGACCUAUGAGACACCAGAGGCACACUCGGUAGCAACAGCGGUAAAAGUACACGUUCCAAAGCCUGGCGUGAAUGGGGGCGCGGGGACCUGCUGAGGGGCGAAUGGGUCCCCGCGUAUCCCUUGGUACCACCUACGGGGGAUUCAACGCGCACAUACACACACACAGACAGACACACAGACACACAGACACACACACACACAGCCACGCACACACACAGACACACACACACAGACACACAGACACACACACACAGCCACGCACACACACACACAGACAGACACACAGACACACACACACACAGACACACACACACAGACACACACAGACACACACACAGACACACACACAGACACACACACAGACACACACACACACACACACACACACACAGACACACACACAUAUAUGCGUCCGCAUCCCUUCUCACUGCUAGGUUACAUGUCAGGGUCGGGCUGCUUUAAAAGGCUGCACACAAAACCAGUCGGCAAGUAGUGGUGGUUACUGUGCGCAUGGAGUACUCACAGGUGAACUGUACGACAGGAACUCCUCCACAGCAUCCACAACAAAGAGCCCCGUCACCGCUGCCGUCUGCGCUGCCCUGAUGGUCAGGUAGCCAUCGCCGCCUGACCAGAGGGAGUGGGGAGGGCCGGGGAAGGGCGGAGAGGUAGGUUAAGGGUGGGAUGUAAGGGUGUAUUGGUAGGCCAACAUCACCCCCAUUUCAGGACAGACCCUAGCACAGGACAGUGCUACGUGUACUGUGCUAGGGGACUCAACAACUCGGUAUCCGGGCCCCAAAGCAGCAGCAGUAGCUGCAGCAGCUGCGAAUCCAGAUUGACCCACACCAAAAGUUUGGAAAACAGCAAAGGAGUUCAACAGGGGAAGAAGUAACGCAGAUGAUGGUUUUCCUCAAUGGCAAAGUAAGGUCGUUGAGGCAAAAGUGUAACGAACCAACACGCUGGGCGACGCUGCCAGCAUCCGUGUCAACGGGUACCCUAAUAUUAGGGCAACCACCGCAUCUAGGCCGUACAGCUGUACGGAGCCCGUUGCAAAAGGCUGUUGGAUUCACAGCGUUACCCUAAUAUGUACGGCACCUGAUGGGUAGCGACGCUACCAUGCUACAGUACUAUAUAUUACAGAAAGGUGUGUAUGUAUUUGUGUGUAUGUGUGUAUGUGUGUAAAACAUCACUAGCAGGCACGUGAUGGUGUUCCAUUGUCGCACUCACAUUGCUUGUGCGCCGCCGUUAAUGUUUGUGUGGGGGCCCCUACCCCCUAUGUUCUUUGUGCCGUUCUAGCGAUAUCCUCCGGACACCUGAGCAGCACAGCCCCCCAUCCGUCAAGUCACACACUUACCCGCCGCCAUAUAAUCGUUGGUCACCAAUGCGUACUGGGCGCAAGGAUCGACGGGCGAGUACGAACCGUCCCCGUUCGCAACCUCAAUGGCCGACACGCGCUGGUUGACCGGCUUGGUGGCGUCGUACGCAAAACGGAAGCCGCCCACCUGUCGAAUAAAGUGAAAGGAUGCAGUUACAUUAACAAACACAGCAAGCUGAAGGAAGCCAUUGUGGACGAGCCUCCGUACUUGUUUCCGUACGCCAUGUCAAGAGCUAGGGUGUUUGGACCUGCUAUUAAGACUUCUACCGUCGGCCCGUUCACACAUCAAGCAGUCGUACACGCAUUAACGCCGGUACGGCAGAUGGCCCUCGGGCCUUAACCCUUGCCGAGCCCUGUGGAAUAAAAUCCGUAGUCUCGUUCAGCUGAUCUUGUCUGUUCCCACCGUUUUCCUUCCUAAAGUGCAUAUCAUCUUACACAGUGCCGUACAUAUUUCCCCUCCGGUUUCUUCACUCAGCCUCUAAGCUGCCGUAAGGCUGGACACCGGUACCGAUCAGCGGCCCGGAUGGUGUUGCGGUCUUGAAGGAACACCCCAUCGCAGGACGGAUGCGGUUAAUAGUGCCAACUGCCUACUGCCAACUGCCAACCGCCAACUGCCAAAUUGCAGUACGGAAAUGUAUUUGCAUGGCCUAUUGUCACCAUCAUGUACCCCGUACACGGUAUCACCUCACCUGUGCAAACUGCCCGAUCGCCUCGCCCCCGGCAAUGUUGCCCUCAACGCUGUUCUCGAGAGCCGAUUUGAGGCCCCUGACGGAAAUGCUCUUGAUCACCAGGGUGUUGCCGUACGGCAGGGCGGCCGCGAUUUGGCCUGCGGUGUUGGUGUUCCCAUGUGUCAUUUUUUGUUCAACACCGUUUAUUAAAAACUUAUUAAACUAAGUAAUCAAUUAUUGACACUGUUUUCUGUGUGAGCUGCUAGUUCGGACCGUAUGUUGCAUGAACUGCAUUGGAAUCGUUGUUGAUGGGGUUGUGUUACACUGUGGGCGGCUCGUCCCGAUAAAGGACGAGCACGGGGGGCCUGACCGGGGACCGAAACACAGUGCAGGGUUGUAGGCUGUUACAGAGUGGGAGGCUUCUGAGCCACUUGAACACAAAGGAAUUGUGCCUGCAUUGCGUGACCCUGUCUACGAUAUGUAUGUACCGUCUCCGCAUACACAUCGGAAACGGUAAGUGCCCGGGUAGUUGCGAUGCAGCGGACACAUACAUUGAACAUGCCUACUGUGUACGACGCCGUACAUUCAGCAUACCUCCGGUCACCAGUCCAGCAGGGAUGUCUGCGCGAAUCGAACCAGAGUUCACCAUGCACAAAUCCGGCCUCACGCCUGUCGUCAUCUGUUCAUAUACGCCACCAUUUUAAGAAAAAGGAGGGAAGAGGGGUGCAAGGAGUAUAAGGGUGGGAGUCCCUUUGGGACAAGGCUUGGGAACAAUGGACGGCACGCAGCAGGACGGCACUGGCCCCAGCAUGGCGUAUUAUUCGCAUGCAGGUACGGCAGCACAGAUCCAUUUUCUGCGAUUUACAGAUGAUGCAUGCGUUUGUUUAUACAGAGCGUGUACGCCAUCCAAGAACCGCUUGCAGAUAGCAUCAGUCGAGUUGGUCAAAUAAGCUGGUCUUGCAGACACGCGUCUAGAUGCCCCGUGUCAGCGUGGGUGGGUUUUAGAACAUGCGGAUUUGGAGCUGAUUUCACGUUUGUUACAGGGCCCCGGGGGUCCCGUCCCCCACUACUACAUGUGAACCUUCGCGCACCUCGGCAUACCACAUCAUGGCGUCACAGACGAAGUCACCGAUGGGGGCCUCGCCCAGGCGAACAGUGGCCUUGUCGGAAACCAGGGUGUGCGACAGAGUGCCCAGUGCGCAGGAGGCGGUGGAGACGGGCUCCGCGGAGCAGAUGCCGCUGCUGCCGCCCAGGUCGCAGCGGUUGAUGCGGCCCUCGGCAGCAGCGUAGCCGGUGACCUGCAGGGACAGGAAGAGAGAGCCGUGAGGACCAUCGGGCAUGAGAAAGACGCGUGUGUGUGCACUGCGGCUCCAACCGCCCCACAUACAACGUAAUCACUAGUCACGCCAUACGUGCUUUAGACACUAUAAAUGUUUAGACGCUAUAUCUAUCUACCAUACAGGAUAUGCUCGGUACGCAACUUAUCGUACACGCGGCAUAUGCUACAUAUGCUACACAAGGGUUAGCGUAUAAACGACCUAUGAGACACCAGAGCCACACUCGGUAGCAACAACGGUAAAAGUACACGUUCCAAAGCCUGGCAUGAAUGGGGGCGCGGGGACCUGCUGAGGGGCGAAUGGGUCCCUGCGUAUCCCUUGGUACCACCUGCGGGGGAUUCAACGCGCACAUACACACACACACACACACACACACAGACACACGCACACACAGACACGCACACACACAGACACACACACACAGACACACAGACACACACACACAGCCACGCACACACACACACAGACAGACACACAGACACACACACACACAGACACACACACACAGACACACACAGACACACACACAGACACACACACAGACACACACACAGACACACACACACACACACACACACACACAGACACACACACAUAUAUGCGUCCGCAUCCCUUCUCACUGCUAGGUUACAUGUCAGGGUCGGGCUGCUUUAAAAGGCUGCACACAAAACCAGUCGGCAAGUAGUGGUGGUUACUGUGCGCAUGGAGUACUCACAGGUGAACUGUACGACAGGAACUCCUCCACAGCAUCCACAACAAAGAGCCCCGUCACCGCUGCCGUCUGCGCUGCCCUGAUGGUCAGGUAGCCAUCGCCGCCUGACCAGAGGGAGUGGGGAGGGCCGGGGAAGGGCGGAGAGGUAGGUUAAGGGUGGGAUGUAAGGGUGUAUUGGUAGGCCAACAUCACCCCCAUUUCAGGACAGACCCUAGCACAGGACAGUGCUACGUGUACUGUGCUAGGGGACUCAACAACUCGGUAUCCGGGCCCCAAAGCAGCAGCAGUAGCUGCAGCAGCUGCGAAUCCAGAUUGACCCACACCAAAAGUUUGGAAAACAGCAAAGGAGUUCAACAGGGGAAGAAGUAACGCAGAUGAUGGUUUUCCUCAAUGGCAAAGUAAGGUCGUUGAGGCAAAAGUGUAACGAACCAACACGCUGGGCGACGCUGCCAGCAUCCGUGUCAACGGGUACCCUAAUAUUAGGGCAACCACCGCAUCUAGGCCGUACAGCUGUACGGAGCCCGUUGCAAAAGGCUGUUGGAUUCACAGCGUUACCCUAAUAUGUACGGCACCUGAUGGGUAGCGACGCUACCAUGCUACAGUACUAUAUAUUACAGAAAGGUGUGUAUGUAUUUGUGUGUAUGUGUGUAUGUGUGUAAAACAUCACUAGCAGGCACGUGAUGGUGUUCCAUUGUCGCACUCACAUUGCUUGUGCGCCGCCGUUAAUGUUUGUGUGGGGGCCCCUACCCCCUAUGUUCUUUGUGCCGUUCUAGCGAUAUCCUCCGGACACCAGAGCAGCACAGCCCCCCAUCCGUCAAGUCACACACUUACCCGCCGCCAUAUAAUCGUUGGUCACCAAUGCGUACUGGGCGCAAGGAUCGACGGGCGAGUACGAACCGUCCCCGUUCGCAACCUCAAUGGCCGACACGCGCUGGUUGACCGGCUUGGUGGCGUCGUACGCAAAACGGAAGCCGCCCACCUGUCGAAUAACGUGAAAGCAUGCAGUUUCAUCAACAAACACAGCAAGUUGAAGGAAGCCUUUGUGGACGAGCCUCCUUACUUGUUUCCGUACGCCAUGUCAAAAGCUAGGGUGUUUGGACCUGCUAUUAAAACUUCUACCGUCGGCCCGUUCACACAUCAAGCAGUAGUACACGCAUUAACGCCGGUACGGCAGAUGGCCCUCGGGCCUUAACCCUUGCCGAGCCCUGUGGAAUAAAAUCCGCAGUCUCGUUCAGCUGAUCUUGUCUGUUCCCACCGUUUUCCUUCCUAAAGUGCAUAUCAUCUUAAACAGUGCCGUACAUAUUUCGCCUCCGGUUUCUUCACUCAGCCUCUAAGCUGCCGUAAGGCUGGACACCGGUAGCGAUCAGCGGCCCGACUGGUGUUGCGGUCUUGAGGGAACACCCCAUCGCAGGACGGAUGCGGUUAAUAUGCCAACUGCCAACUGUCAACUGCCAGCUGCCAACUGCCAAAUUGCCAAUGGUUCACAACUUGGAUCCCGUUGCAGUUCGGCGGUGCAGAAGUAGCUACUAGGCACCAUAAGUAACACAUGCACACAUGCAUCCUGUGGGGAUCAGCUGCACCGUCAUGUACACGGCCACGGUAUCACCUCACCUGUGCAAACUGCCCGAUCGCCUCGCCCCCGGCAAUGUUGCCCUCAACGCUGUUCUCGAGAGCCGAUUUGAGGCCCGUAACGGAAAUGAACUUGAGCACCAGGGUAUUGCCGUACGGCAGGGCGGCCGCGAUUUGACCUACGGUGUUGGUUUUGUUCGUUGGAAAUAGAUUGAUUAAAUUCAAGGCCUGGUUAAACUUCACUGCGACAUGGACAGGUUGUAGCGCCAUGAUCACCAACAUCGUGUACACUGUUCCACGCCAUGCAUGGCCGUGUGCAACCGUGUACAGCCAUGUGCAGCCAUGUACGACAACCUACGUAUUUAUAUAAAUAAUGUUAGUCCGAAUAAUGGUUAGAUGUCAUUGCAGUAGCAAUCCAGCUCCUGGACAUACGGCCAUGGGCGUUAUGCAUGGUUUCCUUCAUCCCUUAGUUUCUGACCGCAUCAGUAUUUUACCAGCAGCCAGGUAUCCUGUGCUGCAAUAAUUAGCAUUAACAAUACCCUUUGCAAGUCUGUCUACAAUGAUAAUCCUACCUAUCAGCACUCAUGGCCGUACAUGCAAUGCCGUACACUGAAUGCGUACCUGAGGUCACAGGUCCCGCAGGAAGAUUCGCGCGGAUCGAACCGGAGUUCACCAUGCAGAAAUCCGGCGUUGUUUGGAAAUAGCGCUGUCGAUAACGACAGGAACAAGCACGGAUAAUGGGUUGUUGGGGAAUCGUAAUUGAUGGGUAUUAUAAUCAAGGAACUGCUAAGGUCCGUCCCGACAAGGUCGGACAGGGCGGCAAACGCACGCGCCGGCACCGAACAAAGAGGUGUUUGGUACACGCGAGCACCGCAACAACGUACGGCAAAACAAGGCAUCCAUUACUUAAACGCGCAUGUUCUGAAUCUGAACCUUGCUAUUAGGCGCAGCCCACCAGACCGUCUUCAUACUUCAGGAUGGAUGGCAGUAGCGCAAUGGACGUCGGUGUGAUCAUAUUAGCGCGUACGAUGGGGAGAGUACGUGAAGGGAUGUUGGUUCCGUUCGUAUCCCCCAGCUCCCCGUCCUCACCCUGCGGGCCCCUCCCUCCCUCCCAACGCACCUCUGCAUACCACAUCAUGGCGUCACAGACGAAGUCACCGAUGGGGGCCUGGCCCAGGCGAACAGUGGCCUUGUCGGAAACCAGGGUGUGCGACAGAGUGCCCAGUGCGCAGGAGGCGGUGGAGACGGGCUCCGCGGAGCAGAUGUCGCUGCUGCCGCCCAGGUCGCAGCGGUUGAUGCGGCCCUCGGCAGCAGCGUAGCCGGUGACCUGCAGGGACAGGAAGGAAGAGCCGUGAGGGCCAUCGGGCAUGAGGAAGGCACGUGAACGAGGGAAAUCAAUGUGGACGAAGUAACGGAGCUUUUGAGAAACGCUUCUUUGACGGCGCGCAUGUGCCGCCCUGUCCGACCUUGUCCGUCAAUUUCAAAUUAUGACGGAGUUAUGGUGACUGAUGAUGAGCAGCGGUCGGUGUUUGCUAUAGCGCUGCAUUGCCAAAGCUACGAACAGGCCUAGGCCAAGGCCCCAGUCGUUGUAA